rnacentral:rRNA from 1 species
UGGGGAAUUUUGGACAAUGGGCGAAAGCCUGAUCCAGCAAUGCCGCGUGUGUGAAGAAGGCCUUCGGGUUGUAAAGCACUUUUGUCCGGAAAGAAAUCCUUGGCUCUAAUACAGUCGGGGGAUGACGGUACCGGAAGAAUAAGCACCGGCUAACUACGUGCCAGCAGCCGCGGUAAUACGUAGGGUGCAAGCGUUAAUCGGAAUUACUGGGCGUAAAGCGUGCGCAGGCGGUUUGCUAAGACCGAUGUGAAAUCCCCGGGCUCAACCUGGGAACUGCAUUGGUGACUGGCAGGCUAGAGUAUGGCAGAGGGGGGUAGAAUUCCACGUGUAGCAGUGAAAUGCGUAGAGAUGUGGAGGAAUACCGAUGGCGAAGGCAGCCCCCUGGCAAGUACUGACGCUCAUGCACGAAAGCGUGGGGAGCAAACAGGAUUAGAUACCCUGGUAGUCCACGCCCUAAAACGAUGUCAACUAGUUGUUGGGGGAUUCAUUUCCUUAGUAACGUAGCUAACGCGUGAAGUUGACCGCCUGGGGAGUACGGUCGCAAGAUUAAAACUCAAAGAAUUGACGGGGUCAUAGCUGUUUCCU